AUUGAACGCUGGCGGCAUGCCUUACACAUGCAAGUCGAACGGUAACAGGUCUUCGGAUGCUGACGAGUGGCGAACGGGUGAGUAGUACAUCGGAACGUGCCUAGUAGUGGGGGAUAACUACUCGAAAGAGUGGCUAAUACCGCAUGAGAUCUACGGAUGAAAGCAGGGGAUCGCAAGACCUUGUGCUACUAGAGCGGCCGAUGGCAGAUUAGGUAGUUGGUGGGAUAAAAGCUUACCAAGCCGACGAUCUGUAGCUGGUCUGAGAGGACGAUCAGCCACACUGGGACUGGGACACGGCCCAGACUCCUACGGGAGGCAGCAGUGGGGAAUUUUGGACAAUGGGCGCAAGCCUGAUCCAGCAAUGCCGCGUGCAGGAUGAAGGCCUUCGGGUUGUAAACUGCUUUUGUACGGAACGAAAAGCCCCGGGUUAAUACCCUGGGGUCAUGACGGUACCGUAAGAAUAAGCACCGGCUAACUACGUGCCAGCCGCCGCCGCAG
rnacentral:rRNA from 1 species